rnacentral:rRNA from 1 species
AUUGAACGCUGGCGGCAGGCCUAACACAUGCAAGUCGAGCGAGCGGCGGACGGGUGAGUAAUGUAUGGGGACUGCCCGAUAGAGGGGGAUAACUACUGGAAACGGUGGCUAAUACCGCAUACUAUCGGAUAACCCAUAUGGUAUUAGCUAGUAGGUGGGGUAAAGGCUCACCUGGGCGACGAUCUCUACCUGGUCGGUGAGGAUGAUCAUCCAACAUGGGCCUGAGACACGGCCCAGACUCCUACGGAGGCAGCAGUGGGGAAUAUUGCCCAGUGGGCGCAAGCCUGAUGCAGCCAUGCAGCGUGUAUGAAGAAGGCCUUAGGGUUGUAAAGUACUUUCAGCGGGGAGGCGUUACCCGCAGAAGAAGCACCGGCUAACUCCGUGCCAGCAGCCGCGGUAAUUC